UGUUACGCCGGGAUAGGAAGGGUUCGUUGCGUGAACGCGGCCUUCCCAGUUUGCGAUGACAAGCAGUGCCAAUGACUGUCUAAACCUAGGGCGCUGACAUGUUAGAUGUAUAUAGCUACUCUUGAAUGUUGAUAGCAAAGUUUAUUGAAGUGGAUUGAAAUUAUUGCGUAAAAUAGCCUAGAAUUGUUGCUGGAGAAGCAAGGUCUGAAUCCUCGAUUAACGUUAGUGAGCGAGUUGAUACUUACCGGUAUUAAUUGUAGGGAGAUUGGAUGGUUCGCAGGCAGGAUUGUUGAUUGGAAAACUGAGUUUGUAAGUAAUGGCAAUGAAUUAUGUAUUAUGCCCUGGAUUAUAUGAUUACAUCGCAAUUUGAAUUAAAUAUAUUUUUAGUUUUGAGUGUGUCGAACAGUACUCCAAGAACAGUUUUCGAUAUGCUGCCCCGAACUCCUCCCAACAAUACUCAAAAAAACUCAUCACAGGAUGCGAACUACCCGUGCUGUAACGAAGAUGAUCAGUAUGAUGCAAUGGUGCAGUGCAGUCGAUGUAAAAGGUGGCACCACUUUUCAUGUGUCGGAGUGGACCAAAGUAUAGCGGAGCUUGUUUGGUACUGCCGUACGUGCCUCGGUGAGGACGUAUCCGCUCGUGAAUCGCUAGGCCAGCCUGGAGUCAGCCGUGUGCAACCACCACGUGCAGCUAAAAAGGGUAGUAUUAAAGAGCAUACCGGUAAGCAGUGUACGCAGAAUAUGGCACCGCAUGCGAAAAAUAGGCAACAAAGAAGGCACGGCAACAACGCUUUGUUUUUUUGUUAGCAGAUAAUGACAAAAUCGCUCUCGAGUUUGUUCACAACAAAAACGGUAGGAAUAUUUGUCUUGUUCUAUUCGCAUCGUGAUUUUCGCAUUGUUUUACAACUUAAACUCGACUCUGAGGAUGGCAAGAGUCUUAAUUCGUCCAAAUGCUCAUGCAUUCGAUGAUGUGGGUCGAAAAUUUCAGAAGAAAAGCCGAAAUAUUGGCAUACGCAUGGCAAGCGAUAUUUGUUUUAUUGCUCUCAUCGUUUGACAUGCGUUUGUUGCGGAGCGCCUUUGUUACCGACAUGCACCGCUUAGGACAAAGCGUUUGUUUUUCGGCGUGAUCCGUUUUUCGUACCCUGCCGG